rnacentral:rRNA from 1 species
ACGACCGGAAACGGUCGCUAAUACCGGAUACCCCCAUUGGAUCGCAUGGUCCGGUGAGGAAAUGAAUUUCGCUUCGGGAGGGGCUCGCGGGCUAUCAGCUUGUUGGUGGGGUAAUGGCCCACCAAGGCUGCAACGGCUAGCUGGUCUGAGAGGACGACCAGCCACACUGGGACUGAGACACGGCCCAGACUCCUACGGGAGGCAGCAGUGGGGAAUCUUGCGCAAUGGGCGAAAGCCUGACGCAGCAACGCCGCGUGCGGGAUGAAGGCCCUCGGGUCGUAAACCGCUUUCAGCAGGAACGAAAUUGACGGUACCUGCAGAAGAAGCACCGGCCAACUACGUGCCAGCAGCCGCGGUAAUACGUAGGGUGCAAGCGUUGUCCGGAUUUAUUGGGCGUAAAGAGCUCGUAGGCGGCUUGGCAAGUCGGGUGUGAAAGCUUCAGGCUCAACCUGGAGAUGCCACCCGAGACUGCUAUGGCUAGAGUCCGGUAGGGGACCACGGAAUUCCUGGUGUAGCGGUGAAAUGCGCAGAUAUCAGGAGGAACACCGGUGGCGAAGGCGGUGGUCUGGGCCGGCACUGACGCUGAGGAGCGAAAGCGUGGGUAGCAAACAGGAUUAGAUACCCUGGUAGUCCACGCCGUAAACGUUGGGUACUAGGUGUGGGGCCUUAUCAACGGGUUCCGUGCCGCAGCUAACGCAUUAAGUACCCCGCCUGGGGAGUACGGCCGCAAGGCUAAAACUCAAAGGAAUUGACGGAAUCGA